rnacentral:rRNA from 1 species
UACGAAGGGGGCUAGCGUUGCUCGGAAUCACUGGGCGUAAAGCGCACGUAGGCGGAUUGCUAAGUCAGGGGUGAAAUCCCGGGGCUCAACCUCGGAACUGCCUUUGAUACUGACAAUCUCGAGUCCGAUAGAGGUGGGUGGAAUUCCUAGUGUAGAGGUGAAAUUCGUAGAUAUUAGGAAGAACACCGGUGGCGAAGGCGGCCCACUGGAUCGGUACUGACGCUGAGGUGCGAAAGCGUGGGGAGCAAACAGG